AUGCAUUGGAUAUCUUGGAAAGGACUAGCAACACCUAAAUGUAAAGGUGGCAUGUGAUUUUGGGAUCUCCACCUUUUUAAUGUGGCACUGUUGGGUAAGCAAGGAUGGCGCCUAAUUACCAAUCCAAACACCCUAUGUGCAAGAGUGCUCAAGGGCAGGUAUUUUCCUGACAUAGACUUCAUGCAAGCUUCAGUUCUUGGCUCCUCCUCGGCUACUUGGAGGGACAUUAUUGCGGGCAGGGAGGCCUUGCUCACUGGGCUCAUCAAACGAGUGGGGGAUGGCUCUACGAUCUCGAUCUGGGAUGACAAAUGGAUACCAUCAACACACACUUUGGCUCCUCUGUUUCAUCCACCGGCAGCAAACGUAACCCUGAUGAGUGAUCUUAUUGACGCAGAUAAUUGGACAUGGUAG
rnacentral:rRNA from 1 species